CAAAUGUUCUUUAUUUAAAAAUGACACAAAAGUGAUAUGUUGUCUUUCUUCUACUGUAAUACCAGUUGGAGAUAACCAUCAUAUUUAAAAAUUGAAAUGAUUUAGACAUACUUCCUAAUUUUUUUAUUUGGUAAAAUACAUUUUAUAAAAUAGAUCUAUCCUUUGCACCAACUUGGUUAUAUUUUAAUAAUAAGCCAGUGCAGAGAGGAUACUUAAUCUGAAACAAUUUUGAGAACUAAAACAGUAGAACAAGAAAGAAACACUCCAUGGAAUCUCACGCUAUCUUCAUCCCAAAUCAUUGUUAUUCAGGUCUGCAUUCCCUUGAGUUGGAAAUCUAGUCUGCUUAAAAAACUUGCUGCCAAGAAUGUAGGGAGCAAAGAAUAAAGUUGAAAGAAGAGGAAAUAAACAAAGAGGAAUUACAAAAGGGGGAAUUUAAAUAGGGGAACAACAUAAAAAGAAAGCCAGUCCCAGAACAUGAAGUUUUGUGAAAUGCAUUUAUUGCUACGAGAUCUGUGCCAACAUUUAUUUUUCUGAACUGACCUAAAUAAAACUUACUUCUGUACAGAGCAGGAGCAGAAAGCAAUUGAACUUUGCUGUAAAUAUUUCAGCCCUGUGAUGUGGUAAGCCUCAUAUUUAUUCAUAUUUCAAAGAAUGCUGAAUUUUCUUCAAGCAGAGUAUCACUGGCUUAUGGUCAUAGUUGUUGAAGAUGAAUGUUGAGUAAAAAGUUCUCAAACCAGCUGUAUUGAGUAAAGAUUCAGACAGAUUAAAAGAAAUUUAAAGCUUCUUCUGAAGUUCUUAUUGUGUUCAACUUUAUCAGUAUGCCAAUUGGCCAUCAUGUUCUAGCUAAGUAAGAUAAGUCACCUGAAAUCUUUCAGGAGCUGCAAAUUGAAGCCAAGCGAUAUUAAACAGAACUUCUUUACAUUUCUGAAAACUGUUGAAAUGUUAGAAAACUAUACAGAAUAUUCUUAUAGGAGUGUGAAUCACUUUGGACAACUUGCAGCCUUUAUGUCACAUUAGAUUGUAAGGUUAUUUUCAUCCUUUCAUUGCAAAGGAUCCAUUUAGACUUCUUGCAAGAGAUAGAUGAUCCUCAUCCAGAAAUCUCAAGGCAGAAGGAACAAGGAGAGAGAAAAAUGCUUCAAACAGAAAAAAAGAAAUUAUCUCUGUUGUUUUUUUCUUUAACACCUGAAGUCUAAACAAAUUUCUUUCAUGGACAGAAUAUGAGUAUCAUCAGAAAAAAUGCUCCUUUAGGAUUUAGGAUAAUAUUUGGAUUACAUAAAAUUGACAUGAUUUUGGAAAUAAGCAUCCAAGAGAAGCAGCUAUUAUUACCUGAAGUGAAUACCUUAAGCAACCAUUAUUUUCUAUACAACCUGUAAAAUUAUUAGGCAUGAAGAGGAUUUGUAAUGAUUACUUUUCAUCAAUUUGCAAAUUUAUAUAAAAAAUAAGUGAAUAAAAUUAUGUAAUAUCUCAUUCAGAACUGUUCAUUUUUUCACUAGUUUAGAAAUCACCACUGAAAUUUGAUGAUGGCUUCAAAAUCAGAAAAUGCACCAAGGCAGAGGCUACAGUUGUACCUUUGGCUUCAUUUUAUACAGCAGUUGCUCUUCCCAGCUAGGAACACUGUUGUUUCAACAUGCCAAGUUACUCUCCCCUGGCUGAUACAACUGAGAGUAUCUCAAAUCCUUCACUGAAUUUGUCAUUUGGAUGUUGCUCCUAUCAAAAUCAGUCUGAAUGGAUAUUUCAGUAAUUUUCAGACAACUCUGAAGGGCAUCACACAAUUUAUAAAUGAAUUCCAUGGAGAUCAACCAGGUUACCUAGACAGGUAAGUAUAAAAGAAACAAAAAUUAAAGCCAGUGUCAAGCAAUUGGCUUAAGGUAUGUUCAAAAAUAAUUUACUUUUACAUAGAAUACAAAUAUUUGAAUUCCUCAAGAAAGCUUUUUUUCCAGUUUCUAUCUUUGCACGGUGAGCGAUCUUUACAAUGUACCAAAGCCAUAGUUUUAAUCCUAUUUUGAUCUGAAACCAUUUCAGUCUGUUGUACAAAAAGGUUUCUUUAAAACGGACAAAGUGUUAAUUCCACAAAGAAUAUUUCAUGUAGCUCAAAUAUCUACAAGUGUGGGCCCUCCAGUUUUUCUGUCAAUGACCUCCAGGUCACUGGUGGUAUGAGGGGAAAGUCCUACUUUAGGGGAAGCUAUUCUAAACUUUGCUUAACUUCUCAUUCUUAAAAUUAAAGAAAUCGUCCAUUUAGGGAUUUCUGGCAACAGUACCAUCAUUGCAUUCUGUUGGAGUAAAAUAAUGACUGUUAAGCACAUACUUAUAAUAGAAAAACAAACUAUAUUAGAAAGCACCCACUGUAAUUUCAGGUUUCAACCAAGGGUUGGUUUGUUUUUUGUUUUGCUUUAAAGCAGUAAAAAAAGAGGCUUACUUGGCUACAAAAACUUUUUUACAAUUAUGGAGAAACUUUACAACUUCUAAAAGGAUGCAGGCAAGGACUCUGUUCUUGGGGAGUGGAGGUUGAGUUGUCUGAGAAAAAGAUAAUGCUAUGAAAGGAAAAAUAAAAUAAUAAAGAACACUAUUGAAUUGGCUACAGAAGUAAAGCUUGUGGGAAGCUUCUGCUGCUGCAGAAUAGAAACAGUAAUACAGUUUCAAAGCACCUGAGGGAAAGUUUGGUCAAUAACAACAAAUCCAGCAUUUUUUAAUAUUCAAACUUUCACAGUGAAAUAGAGAAUUUAUUUAGCAGGUUUCCAGCAUUUAAAACGCUUUGCAAACGUUGCUUGAGCAACUGGGGUAACCCUAUAAAGUCGUUCAAAGUUAUUACUACAAUACUGUGCAAUGACAGACGGGGGGGGGGAGGUGGGAAUCAGAUGUGCAAUGUGUAGCCAGAACUCCCCGCCGAAGAUCAUCACCACUCUCGGAUUAGUCCCUGUUUUGGACGAAAAAGAGCACAAGAGAUCGAGCUGCGGGUCCAACAACACUCGCGGCGCAAAACCGAGGGAGGGAAGGUAGCCACCUCACAUUCAGAAAGUUAGAAUUAGCACGGGACAAAGUGAGAGCCAGUUUGGUGUAGUGGUUAAGACACCAGAAAACCAUGAGUUCUAGUGUUGCCUCAAGUCACGAAGCCAGCUCGGCCCAGACACACUCGCUCUGCCUUAGGAAGCGGGCAAUGGCAAACUAGUUCUGAAAUUUUGCCAAGAAAACUGCAAGGACUUGUCCUGGCAGUCUCCCGGAGUCAAAAAGCCAAGCAGAGCGAAAGCGAAAGGGUCUGUCGGAAAGGCAUUCCACGUUGCUACCAGAAAAUGCCCACUGCUCUAUCUGGAGCAACCGCUCCCACGUCGAACCACCCCAGGUCCUUCGAGAAACCUUCAGUUCCCAGAUUGCCGGAUUCUUGGCAAACGACGUUGGCCAAGCCCAAAGCAACCACC